rnacentral:misc_RNA from 1 species
AAGUCGUAACAAGGUUUCCGUAGGUGAACCUGCGGAAGGAUCAUUAAUGAAUAAACUUGGUGGACUGUUGCUGGCCCCCCUGGGGGUAUGUGCACGUCUGUCAUCUUUAUCUUUCCACCUGUGCACUUUCUGUAGAACUUGGGAGACUAACUUUCCGAGGUCAACUCGGUUGUGAGGAGUUGCAGGCCUUGAUUAAUGGGUCAGCUCUCUUUGGAGGUCACCAAGGCUCUAUGUUUUUCACAUACACCGAAUGAAAUAUAAAAGAAUGUAAUCCAUGGGUCUUUGCACCUAUAUAAAGUUAUACAACUUUCAGCAACGGAUCUCUUGGCUCUC